AUGACAACAGAACCCACAACAACCAUGACUUUUAUCACCAUCUUCAUCUGGACACUGGCACUCUGCUAUCAAGAAUCCAGAGGACAGAUCACAGUAACUCAGACUCCUGCAGUGAAAGCUGUUCUCCCAGGACAGUCAGUCUCUCUGAAUUGUAAAACCAGCAGUAAUGUGCAUAGAAAUGACCAUCUAGCCUGGUAUCAACAGAAACCUGGAGGAGCUUCUAAACUCCUUAUUUACUAUGCUACAAAACUUCAGUCUGGGACUCCAUCUAGAUUCAGUGGUAGUGGAUCUGAGAGUGACUUCACUCUGACCAUCAGUGAAGUCCAGGCUGAAGAUGCAGGAGAUUACUACUGUCAGAGUGACCACACAGGUGCAGUGUUCACACAAACACUUUGCAUAGACAGCACAUGCUUCAGUGGUCUGGGAGUGUUUAUAUCCCUGAUAUACUCGGCUAAAACCCUUCAGUCUGGGACUCCAUCUAGAUUCAGUGGUAGUGGAACUCAUAGUGACUUCACUCUGACCAUCAGUGGAGUCCAGGCUGAAGAUGCAGGAGAUUACUACUGUCAGAGUGACCACUACUUAAGUGCCUGGGUGUUCACACAGUGA